rnacentral:rRNA from 1 species
AUUGAACGCUGGCGGCAGGCCUAACACAUGCAAGUCGAGCGGAGCGGCGGACGGGUGAGUAAUGCCUAGGAAUCUGCCUGGUAGUGGGUGAUAACGUCCGGAAACGGGCGCUAAUACCGCAUACUAUCAGAUGAGCCUAGGUCGGAUUAGCUAGUUGGUGGGGUAAAGGCCUACCAAGGCGACGAUCCGUAACUGGUCUGAGAGGAUGAUCAGUCACACUGCAACUGAGACACGGUCCAGAAUCCUAAGGGAGGCAGCAGUGGGGAAUAUUGGACAAUUGGCGAAAGGCUGAUCCAGCCAUGCCGCGUGAGUGAAGAAGGUCUUCGGAUUGUAAAGCAAUUUAAGGUGGGAGGCGGUACCAACAGAAUAAGCACUGGCUAACUUCGUGCCAGCAGCCGCGGUAAUUC